GCUAAUGCUCGAAAGUGCGGGUAUCGAACAGGAUUAGAUACCCUGGUAGUCCGCACGGUAAACGAUGGAUGCCCGCUGUUGGCGAUACAAUGUCAGCGGCCAAGCGAAAGCGUUAAGCAUCCCACCUGGGGAGUACGCCGGCAACGGUGAAACUCAAAGGAAUUGACGGGGGCCCGCACAAGCGGAGGAACAUGUGGUUUAAUUCGAUGAUACGCGAGGAACCUUACCCGGGCUUGAACUGCAGGAGAACGAUUCAGAGAUGAUGAGGUCCUUCGGGACUCCUGUGGAGGUGCUGCAUGGUUGUCGUCAGCUCGUGCCGUGAGGUGUCGGCUUAAGUGCCAUAACGAGCGCAACCCCUUUCUUCAGUUGCCAUCAGGUUAUGCUGGGCACUCUGGAGACACUGCCACCGUAAGGUGUGAGGAAGGUGGGGAUGACGUCAAAUCAGCACGGCCCUUACGUCCGGGGCUACACACGUGUUACAAUGGGUGGUACAGAGAGCGGGCUGCCUGCAAAGUCAGCCGAAUCAUGAAAGCCAUCCUCAGUUCGGAUUGGGGUCUGCAACCCGACCCCAUGAAGCUGGAUUCGCUAGUAAUCGCGCAUC
rnacentral:rRNA from 1 species